GGAUAUGAGGGCCAUUUGACUACGACAUCUGUCACCCCAUUGAUCACCAGGGUUGAUUCAGCUGAUCUCGAUGGCUUGAUGGGUGUUUCCUUCCUCCCUCUCUGCUCCAUGUGUGUCCCUCCCAAAACCAUGUGCUAGGAAGAAGAGGACUUCCUUCUCCAAUAGAGGACUGCCUUUCAGUUGAGACUAUACAAGAAGCUGUGCUCCCCUGCUGAAACCUCUAAAACAAGUUCUAAAAAGGACCAGGUCAAAGAUAUCCUAUAACAUAUUUGAAGCAAUAUUUUAAUUAAUUAAUUUUGGAUAGAGA
ensembl:misc_RNA 7SK 7SK RNA